UACGGAGGGGGCUAGCGUUGUUCGGAAUUACUGGGCGUAAAGCGCACGUAGGCGGCUUUGUAAGUUAGAGGUGAAAGCCCGGGGCUCAACUCCGGAAGUGCCUUUAAGACUGCAUCGCUAGAAUUGUGGAGAGGUAAGUGGAAUUCCGAGUGUAGAGGUGAAAUUCGUAGAUAUUCGGAAGAACACCAGUGGCGAAGGCGACUUACUGGACACAUAUUGACGCUGAGGUGCGAAAGCGUGGGGAGCAAACAGG
rnacentral:rRNA from 1 species